AGAGUUUGAUCCUGGCUCAGGAUGAACGCUAGCGGCAGGCUUAACACAUGCAAGUCGAGGGGUAACGCGGGGUAGCAAUACUCUGGCGACGACCGGCGCACGGGUGCGUAACGCGUAUGCAACCUACCUGUAACAGGGGGAUAACGGAGGGAAACUUCCACUAAUACCCCAUAUUGUCAUUCUUUCGCAUGUUAGGAUGACGAAAGCUUCGGUGGUUACGGAUGGGCAUGCGUGACAUUAGGUAGUUGGUGAGGCAACGGCUCACCAAGCCGACGAUGUCUAGGGGAGCUGAGAGGCUUAUCCCCCACACUGGUACUGAGACACGGACCAGACUCCUACGGGAGGCAGCAGUGAGGAAUAUUGGUCAAUGGACGGAAGUCUGAACCAGCCAUGCCGCGUGGAGGAAGAAGGUCCUAUGGGUUGUAAACUGCUUUUAUAGGGGAAUAAAGUGUGGUACGUGUACCGUUUUGUAUGUACCCUAUGAAUAAGGACCGGCUAAUUCCGUGCCAGCAGCCGCGGUAAUACAGAAGGUCCGGGCGUUAUCCGGAUUUAUUGGGUUUAAAGGGAGCGCAGGCGGGACCUUAAGCGUGUUGUGAAAUGUACCGGCUCAACCGGUGAUGUGCAGCGCGAACUGGGGUUCUUGAGUGGGUACGACGUCGGCGGAAUUCGUGGUGUAGCGGUGAAAUGCUUAGAUAUCACGAGGAACCCCGAUUGCGAAGGCAGCCGACGAGUCCCUUACUGACGCUAAUGCUCGAAAGUGCGGGUAUCGAACAGGAUUAGAUACCCUGGUAGUCCGCAUGGUAAACGAUGGAUGCCCGCUGUUGGCGAUACAAUGUCAGCGGCCAAGCGAAAGCGUUAAGCAUCCCACCUGGGGAGUACGCCGGCAACGGUGAAACUCAAAGGAAUUGACGGGGGCCCGCACAAGCGGAGGAACAUGUGGUUUAAUUCGAUGAUACGCGAGGAACCUUACCCGGGCUUGAACUGCCGGCGAACGAUUCAGAGAUGAUGAGGCCCUUCGGGGCGCCGGUGGAGGUGCUGCAUGGUUGUCGUCAGCUCGUGCCGUGAGGUGUCAGGUUAAGUCCUAUAACGAGCGCAACCCCUGCCGACAGUUGCCAGCGUGCAAGACGGGGACUCUGUCGGGACUGCCGGCGCAAGCCGCGAGGAAGGUGGGGAUGACGUCAAAUCAGCACGGCCCUUACGUCUAGGGCGACACACGUGUUACAAUGGCCGGUACAGAGGGCAGCCACCCCGCGAGGGGGAGCGAAUCUCGAAAGCCGGUCUCAGUUCGGAUCGGAGUCUGCAACCCGACUCCGUGAAGUUGGAUUCGCUAGUAAUCGCGCAUCAGCCAUGGCGCGAUGAAUACGUUCCCGGGCCUUGCACACACCGCCCGUCA
rnacentral:rRNA from 1 species